GAUGAACGCUGGCGGCGUGCUUAACACAUGCAAGUCGAACGGAAAGGCCCAAGCUUGCUUGGAUACUCGAGUGGCGAACGGGUGAGUAACAAGUGGGUUAUCUGCCCUGCACUUCGGGAUAAGCCUGGGAAACUGGGUCUAAUACCGGAUAGGACGAUGGUUUGGAUGCCAUUGUGGAAAGGUUUUUCGGUGUGGGAUGAGCUCGCGGCCUAUCAGCUUGUUGGUGGGGUAAUGGCCUACCAAGGCGUCGACGGGUAGCCGGCCUGAGAGGGUGUACGGCCACAUUGGGACUGAGAUACGGCCCAGACUCCUACGGGAGGCAGCAGUGGGGAAUAUUGCACAAUGGGCGCAAGCCUGAUGCAGCGACGCCGCGUGGGGGAUGACGGCCUUCGGGUUGUAAACUCCUUUCGCUAGGGACGAAGCGUUUUUGUGACGGUACCAGGAGAAGAAGCACCGGCUAACUACGUG
rnacentral:rRNA from 1 species